rnacentral:rRNA from 1 species
GCUUGCUGGGGGGAUUAGUGGCGAACGGGUGAGUAACACGUGAGUAACCUGCCCUUGACUCUGGGAUAAGCCUGGGAAACUGGGUCUAAUACCGGAUAUGACUCCUCAUCGCAUGGUGGGGGGUGGAAAGCUUUUGUGGUUUUGGAUGGACUCGCGGCCUAUCAGCUUGUUGGUGGGGUAAUGGCCUACCAAGGCGACGACGGGUAGCCGGCCUGAGAGGGUGACCGGCCACACUGGGACUGAGACACGGCCCAGACUCCUACGGGAGGCAGCAGUGGGGAAUAUUGCACAAUGGGCGGAAGCCUGAUGCAGCGACGCCGCGUGAGGGAUGACGGCCUUCGGGUUGUAAACCUCUUUCAGUAGGGAAGAAGCCGCGAGGUGACGGUACCUGCAGAAGAAGCGCCGGCUAACUACGUGCCAGCAGCCGCGGUAAUACGUAGGGCGCAAGCGUUAUCCGGAAUUAUUGGGCGUAAAGAGCUCGUACGCGGUUUGUCGCGUCUGCUGUGAAAGACCGGGGCUCAACUCCGGUUCUGCAGUGGGUACGGGCAGACUAGAGUGCAGUAGGGGAGACUGGAAUUCCUG